rnacentral:misc_RNA from 1 species
AACUUUCAACAACGGAUCUCUUGGUUCUCGCAUCGAUGAAGAACGCAGCGAAUUGCGAUAUGUAAUGUGACUUGCAGAAUUCAGUGAAUCAUCGAAUCUUUGAACGCACCUUGCGCCCUUUGGUAUUCCGAAGGGCAUGCCUGUUUGAGUGUCAUUAAAUUCUCAACUUCAAAAUUUCUUGUUUUGAAGCUUGGAUGUUGGAGGGCUUUGCAGGCAUAUAGUAAUGUCAGCUCCUCUUAAAUGCAUUAGCAGAACUUGUACGUUCGGCUCUGGUUUGAUAAUCCUAUCUAUGCCAUCGCUGAAAGGUCAUUGUUCAGCUUCUAAUGGUCCACUUAUUGGACUGUCUCUUUGGAGGCAUAUCUUUUGACUUGACCUCAAAUCAGGUAGGACUACCCGCUGAACUUAAGCAUAUCAAUAAGCGGAGGCU